rnacentral:rRNA from 1 species
AGCCCCUUUCCCCCCCCCCCYCUUCUCAACAAAAACUAAAAUAUUUUAGCAGUCUAGUAAAGAAGAUUAAAAAACUAUUAAGAGCUAUAAACUGUACCGCAAGGGAAAGAUGAAAUAAAAAUGAAACAAAUCUCAAGCACAAAAAAGUUGAGACUCACCCUCGUACCUUUUGCAUCAUGGUUUAGCUAGUCUAAUUAGGCAAAAAGACCUUAAGUCUAACUCCCCGAAACUAAGUGAGCUAAUUUAGGGCCGCUUAAUGAGCCCACCCGUCUAUGUUGCAAAAUAGUGGGAAGACCCUAAAAUAGAGGUGACAGACCUAACGAACUUAGUGAUAGCUGGUUUCUCAAGAAAAGAAUUUAGUCCAACUUAAAAUGAUACCAAUCCCCCAUAAUUACCCUUCCCCAUUUUAAAGCAAUUCAAAUGAGGUACAGCCCAUUUGAUACAGGAUUCAACCUUCGCUAACGGGUAAUAUUUUACUCACAUUUAAAAGUGGGCCUAAAAGCAGCCAUCUUUUAAAAAGCGUCAGAGCUUAACUAUGUGCAUCUCAAUCCACAAACCCCCAUAAACCCCUUUAAUAGUACCGAGAACCUCUAUAACACUAUAGAAAUUUUUAUGCUAAAACUAGUAACAAGAGAUAUCCCCCUCCUUAAUGCAAACAUAAGCCAGCAAGAACCAAUCUCUGGCAAUUAACAGAACUAAACAAAUGUAGCAACUCACUAGAAAACCCUACUUUUACUACACUGUUUACCUAACACAAGAGCAUUUCAAGAAAGAUUAAAAGAAAAAGAAGGAACUCGGCAAAUAUAGCUUCGCCUGUUUACCAAAAACAUCGCCUCUUGUACUAUUAUAAGAGGUCCAGCCUGCCCAGUGACUCUGUUCAACGGCCGCGGUAUCCUAACCGUGCAAAGGUAGCGUAAUCACUUGUCUUCUAAAUAAAGACCGGUAUGAAAGGCAUCACGAAGGCUAAACUGUCUCCUUUCUCUAAUCAGUGAACCUAAUCUCCCCGUGAAAAA